AAUUACAAUCAUGCACUCAGCAGAUUUGUCUGUGAUUGGUUGUGGUCAAUGCUGCUUCUGUAACAAAAAGAAAAGAAAAAAAGGACAUCUUUAAUGAAAUGAGAGCAGAUCAAAAUAUGAUGCUGUAAUUGACACUUUUCAUUAAUUUUUACAUUUUACACUAAUGGUGACAGUCAUUAUAACUUUAGAGUAAUUGUGCACAGGAUUUUUUUUAGCCCCAAAUUCUGUUAAUUUCCGGCCCUCCGUGGGCCAAAUUAAUAUGAUGUUGACUGUUUCUGCCUAAAUGUACAGCAAACAUACUUGUAUCUUUGUAAUUUAGAACAUAAAUAAACAGUCAAUCUCUCAACUGUAUUUUUGAGGAAAAGUGGAGGGCAGAGCCAUGAGUCUCAGUGAAGAGAAAGAAGAUGAGGAUAUUGCCUCUAAAAUGAGUUCUUCAUCUCCUGAAACAAGCUGCGAUCAACCUAUGAAGAAUCUGCCCUCUGCGUCCAGUGCCAUGACCUCUGACCCCAGUAUCAGCAGGAGGAAGAGACACAGAUCACAGUCUCCACAUUCAAGCUGUGUGUCUGUGAAGAGUAGCAGAUCCAUGGUGCAACCCCGAAACUUUCAAUGAUGCAGUGACCUCUGACCCCCCCAAUAUAUUUGACCUGCACUGCAUCCAGUGAGGCUGGAGACCUGCAGAAACCAGUGGAUAAUGUUCUUCAGAGAGUCAAAGACCAGCACAAAACCAGCAUGAAGAACAAGUAUGAGAGAUUAAUUGAGGGAACCAAACUCCAGGAGAAUGCAAGCCUCCUAAACAGCAUCUACACAUAGCUCUACAUCAUAGAGGGAGAGAGAGAAGGAGUGAAUGAAGAACAUGAGGUUUUACAGAUGGAGAAAACAGCCAGAACACAACACUCACAAGACACUCCAAUCUACUGCAAUGACAUCUUUAAAG